rnacentral:rRNA from 1 species
CUGGCCCAGAUCACGCUAGCGCCGGCGUCAUACAUGCAAGUCGGACGGGAUUGGUACCAGAGCUUGCUCUGAUUCCAUGAGAGUGGCGCACGGGUGCGUAAUGCGUGAGCAACCUACCUCUAUCAGGGGGAUAGCCUCUCGAAAGAGAGAUUAACACCGCAUAAUAUAUUGAAUUCACAUCACUUGGAUAUUAAAUAUUUAUAGGAUAGAGAUGGGCUCGCGUGACAUUAGCUAGUUGGUAGGGUAACGGCUUACCAAGUCGACGAUGUCUAGGGGCUGUGAGAGGAGAAUCCCCCACACUGGUAAUGAGACACGGUCCAGACUCAUACGGGAGGCAGCAGUAAGGAAUAUUGGUCAAUGGGCGGAUGCAUGAACCAGCCAUGCAGCGUGCAGGAUGUCUGCCCUAUGGGUUGUAAAGUGCUUUUGUCCAGGAAUAAACCUCUUAUCGUGUAGAGAGCUGAAUGUACUGGAAGAAUAAGGAUCGGCUAACUCCGUGCCAGCAGCCGCGGUAAUACGGAGGAUCCGAGCGUUAUCCGGAUUUAUUGGGUUUAAAGGGUGCGUAGGCGGCCUAUUAAGUCAGGGGUGAUAUCCGGUGGCUCAACCAUCGCAGUCCCUUUGAUAGCGAGGGGCUAGAAUCCAUGAGAAGUGGGCGGAAUAAGACAAGUCGCGGUGAAAUGCAUAGAUAUGUAUGAGCACUCCGAUUGAGAAGGCUGCCCAGUAAGCUCGUAUUGACUCUGACGCACGAAAGCGUGGGGAUCGCACAGGAUUAGACCCCCUUGUUGUCCACGCCCUAAACGAUGAAUCCACCUGGGGAGACGCCCGCAAGGGUGAAACUCAAAGGAAUUGACGGGGGCCCGCACAAGCGGAGGAGAUGUGGUUUAAUUCGAUGAUACGCGAGGAACCUUACCCGGGCUUGAAAGUUGGUGAAAGAUGCACAGACACGUCCGGCCUUCCGGACAAGAAACUGCGUGCUGCAGGGGUGUCGUCGGCUCCUGCCCUGAGGUGUUGGGGUAAGUCCCGCAACCAGCGCAACCCCUAUGUUUAGUUGCCAGCAUUUAAUGUGGGGACUCUAAACAAAGUGCCUGUGCAAACCAAAAGGAAGGUGGGGACGACGUCCAGUCAUCAUGGCCCUUACGUCCGGGGCUACACACGUGCUACAAUGGAUGGUACAGCGGGCAGCUACAUAACAAUAUGAUGCUAAUCUCUAAAAGCCAUUCACAGUUCGGAUUGGGGUCUGCAACUCGACCCCAUGAAGUUGGAUUCGCUAGUAAUCGCGUAUCAGCUAUGACUGCGGUGAAUACGUUCCCGGGCCUUGUACACACCGCCCGUCAAGCCAUGAAAGUUGGGGGUACCUAAAGCAUGUGACCGCCAGGAGCGUGUUAGGGUAAAACCGAUAAUUGGGGCUAAGUCUGACAGGAAAACCGUAAAGGUAACCCGAAA